rnacentral:rRNA from 1 species
GGUUAAGUUACUAAGGGCACACGGUGGAUGCCUUGGCGCUAGGAGCCGAAGAAGGACGCAGCGAACUGCGAUAAGCCUCGGGAGCGGUAAGCACGCUUUGAUCCGGGGAUCUCCGAAUGGGGCAACCCACCAUCCGUAAUGGGAUGGUAUCCGUCACUGAAUACAUAGGUGAUGAGAAGGCAGACCCGGUGAACUGAAACAUCUAAGUAGCCGGAGGAAGAGAAAACAAUAGUGAUUCCGUCAGUAGUGGCGAGCGAACGCGGAAGAGCCUAAACCGUCGGGUUUACCCGGCGGGGUUGUGGGACGUCUCACUAGGAGUUACAAAAGACUCUUGUAGAUGAACAGCUUGGGAAAGCUGACCAGAGAGCGUGACAGUCGCGUAAUCCAAACAAGAGUCUCUCCGAGACGGAUCCCGAGUAGCGCGGGACACGUGAAAUCCCGUGUGAAUCUGGCAGGACCAUCUGCUAAGGCUAAAUACUACCUAGCGACCGAUAGUGAACCAGUACCGUGAGGGAAAGGUGAAAAGCACCCCGGGAGGGGAGUGAAAUAGUACCUGAAACCGUGUGCUUACAAAUAGUCGGAGCCCGUUAAAAGGGUGACGGCGUGCCUUUUGUAGAAUGAACCGGCGAGUUACGGUAGCGUGCGAGGUUAAGUUGAAGAGACGGAGCCGCAGCGAAAGCGAGUCUGAAUAGGGCGAUAGUACGCUGCCGUAGACCCGAAACCGUGUGAUCUAGCCAUGUCCAGGGUGAAGGUAGGGUAACACCUACUGGAGGCCCGAACCCACGCACGUUGAAAAGUGCGGGGAUGAGGUGUGGCUAGCGGUGAAAUUCCAAUCGAACUCGGAGAUAGCUGGUUCUCCCCGAAAUAGCUUUAGGGCUAGCCUCGGAAUUUAGAGUCUUGGAGGUAGAGCACUGAUUGGGCUAGGGGCCCUCAUCGGGUUACCGAACUCAGUCAAACUCCGAAUGCCAAUGACUUAUGUCCGGGAGUCAGACGGUGAGUGCUAAGAUCCAUCGUCAAAAGGGAAACAGCCCAGACCAUCAGCUAAGGUCCCCAAGUAUACGUUAAGUGGGAAACGAUGUGGAGUUGCCCAGACAACCAGGAUGUUGGCUUAGAAGCAGCCACCAUUUAAAGAGUGCGUAAUAGCUCACUGGUCGAGUGACUCUGCGCGGAAAAUGUAACGGGGCUAAACGUAUCACCGAAGCUAUGGCAGUCCUUACGGACUGGGUAGGGGAGCGUUCCAAGCAGCAGUGAAGCCGUACUGGAAAGAGCGGUGGAGCGCUUGGAAGUGAGAAUGCCGGUGUAAGUAGCGAAAAGACAAGUGAGAAUCUUGUCCACCGAAAGCCUAAGGGUUCCUGGGGAAGGCUCGUCCUCCCAGGGUUAGUCGGGACCUAAGCUGAGGCCGAAAGGCGUAGGCGAUGGACAACAGGUUGAUAUUCCUGUACCACCUCUGUUCCGCUUGAGCAAUGGCGUGACGCAGGAGGAUAGGGUGAGCGGCCUACUGGAUGGCCGUCCAAGCAGCAAGCCUGGUGUGUAGGCAAAUCCGCACACCGUAAGGGCAAGCUGUGAUGGCGAGGGAAAUGUAAGUACCGAAGUCCCUGAUUUCACACUGCCAAGAAAAGCGUCUAGCGAGGAAUAAGGUGCCCGUACCGCAAACCGACACAGGUAGGCGAGGAGAGAAUCCUAAGGUGCGCGGGAUAACUCUUGCUAAGGAACUCGGCAAAAUGGCCCCGUAACUUCGGGAGAAGGGGCGCCCCGGUAGGGUGAGGGUCCCCGUCUGACGCGAGCGUAAGCUUGUGUCAGGCGGGCUGAGCCCGAGGGGGCCGCAGUGAAAAGGCCCAAGCGACUGUUUAGCAAAAACACAGGUCUCUGCGAAGCCGCAAGGCGAAGUAUAGGGGCUGACGCCUGCCCGGUGCUGGAAGGUUAAGGGGAUGGGUUAGUUUCGGGACCCCGCCGAACGUGAGCGUAAGCUUAGGUUCGGUGGGCCGAGGCGAAGCUUUGAACCGAAGCCCCAGUAAACGGCGGCCGUAACUAUAACGGUCCUAAGGUAGCGAAAUUCCUUGUCGGGUAAGUUCCGACCCGCACGAAAGGCGUAACGACUUGGGCGCUGUCUCGGCAAGAGACCCGGUGAAAUCAUAAUACCUGUGAAGAUGCAGGUUACCCGCGACAAGACGGAAAGACCCCAUGGAGCUUUACUGUAGCCUGGUAUUGGAACUUUGUGCAUCAUGUACAGGAUAGGUGGGAAGCUGAGAAGCAGGGGCGCCAGCCUCUGUGGAGCUGUCGGUGGGAUACCACCCUUGAUGUACGGAGUUUCUAACUCGUCGCCCUUAUCGGGCGAGAGGACCAUGCCAGGUGGGCAGUUUGACUGGGGCGGUCGCCUCCCAAAAGGUAACGGAGGCGCCCAAAGGUUCCCUCAGAAUGGUCGGAAAUCAUUCGUAGAGUGUAAAGGCAGAAGGGAGCUUGACUGCGAGACCUACAAGUCGAGCAGGGACGAAAGUCGGGCUUAGUGAUCCGGUGGUUCCGCAUGGAAGGGCCAUCGCUCAACGGAUAAAAGCUACCCUGGGGAUAACAGGCUUAUCUCCCCAAGAGUCCACAUCGACGGGGAGGUUUGGCACCUCGAUGUCGGCUCAUCGCAUCCUGGGGCUGAAGUAGGUCCCAAGGGUUGGGCUGUUCGCCCAUUAAAGCGGUACGCGAGCUGGGUUCAGAACGUCGUGAGACAGUUCGGUCCCUAUCUGUCGCGGGCGUAGGAAGUUUGAGGAGAGCUGUCCUUAGUACGAGAGGACCGGGAUGGACGCACCGCUGGUGCACCAGUUGUCACGCCAGUGGCACAGCUGGGUAGCUAUGUGCGGACGGGAUAAGCGCUGAAAGCAUCUAAGCGUGAAGCCCCCUCCAAGAUGAGACUUCCCACAGCGCAAGCUGGUAAGACCCCUCAUAGACGAUGAGGUUGAUAGGUUCGGUGUGGAAGCGUGGUAACACGUGGAGCUGACGAAUACUAAUCGGUCGAGGACUUAUCCAC